rnacentral:tRNA from 1 species
AUGAAUUAAGUAUUAAGUACAUUUCAUUUACAAUGAAAAAGUCUAAAUCAUAUUAGGAUUCAUU